GUAGGGUCCAAGCGUUAAUCGGGAAUUACUGGGGCGUAGAGCGUGCGCAGGCGGUUGUGCAAGACCGAUGUGAAAUCCCCGGGGCUUAACCUGGGAAUUGCAUUGGUGACUGCACGGCUAGAGUGUGUCAGAGGGGGGUAGAAUUCCACGUGUAGCAGUGAAAUGCGUAGAGAUGUGGAGGAAUACCGAUGGCGAAGGCAGCCCCCUGGGAUAACACUGACGCUCAUGCACGAAAGCGUGGGGAGCAAACAGGAUUAGAUACCCUGGUAGUCCACGCCCUAAACGAUGUCAACUAGUUGUUGGGGAUUCAUUUCCUUAGUAACGUAGCUAACGCGUGAAGUUGACCGCCUGGGGAGUACGGUCGCAAGAUUA
rnacentral:rRNA from 1 species